rnacentral:rRNA from 1 species
GGUUAAUGCUAGCGGUGCGCCUAACACAUGCAAGUCGAGCGGAUGAGAGGAGCUUGCUCCUCGAUUCAGCGGCGGACGGGUGAGUAAUGCCUAGGAAUCUGCCUAGUAGUGGGGGACAACGUUUCGAAAGGAACGCUAAUACCGCAUACGUCCUACGGGAGAAAGUGGGGGAUCUUCGGACCUCACGCUAUUAGAUGAGCCUAGGUCGGAUUAGCUAGUUGGUAGGGUAACGGCCUACCAAGGCGACGAUCCGUAACUGGUCUGAGAGGAUGAUCAGUCACACUGGAACGGAGACACGGUCCAGACUCCUACGGGAGGCAGCAGUGGGGAAUAUUGGACAAUGGGCGAAAGCCUGAUCCAGCCAUGCCGCGUGUGUGAAGAAGGCCCUCGGGUCGUAAAGCACUUUAAGUUGGGAGGAAGGGCUUACAGCGAAUACCUGUGAGUUUUGACGUUACCGACAGAAUAAGCACCGGCUAACUUCGUGCCAGCAGCCGCGGUAA